CGCAGAUGAUAAAGGCAACAUGCUCACAAGUAAAUUAACAUUCAUGGAUGUCUAGGAGAUUGAGGGUCACCCAUACUUCACCCAGAAGAAACUGAUCCAGUACUGCCACUGCAAGGGCAUCACUGUCACUGCCUACAGCCCGCUGGGCUCUCCAGAUAGACCGUGGUUCUGAUCCAAUUCCAAAUACAGAGGAAUGUAGCAGUGAUCCCCAAGUCUGUGACACCAACACGCAUUGUUGAGAUCUUUCAGGUCUUUGACUUCAAGCUGAGUGAUGAGGAGAUGGUGGCCAUCCUCAGCUUCAACAGAAACUGGAGGUUCAACACUGGGCUUAACAACCACCAAGCAUGGAUUCCAAUGCUCUCUCCAACCUCACAAUGGUGUCAGAAAUUGUUUAAACAGGGGCCAGGGAUUUAGCUCACUGGUGCUGCCACCUGCCUCGCAAGCACAGUCCUGAGUUCAAUUCCCGGUACAAAAGAAAGAAAGAAAGAAAGAAAGAAAGAAAGAAAGAAAGAAAGAAAGAAAGAAAGAAAGAAAGAAAGAAAGAAAGAAAUUAUUUAGACAUUAUUUGUAGGGCAGUUGACUUGGCACCAGGCCUCCUACAAGCCAUCAUUAUGAAUUUAUUUUUGCAC
rnacentral:lncRNA from 1 species